AUGGGUUAGGUAAAUGUUUCAUGAUAAGAAUUUCAUGUCUUUUGUAUUAAAGAAUUAAAUGGAUGAAAUAUGAAGUUUUAUUAAAAGAAAAAGGGGUGAAAAGAACAAAGUUUUGUCCAUCUUUGUUCAUCAUAGCUGAAAGUUAGAGAAGAGAAAGGAGAGGAGAAAGCUCUUGAGUAUUCGGUCAUUAGGAGGAGGAAAAUUGAAGGUGGUUCGUGUGUGGAUCUUGUCAGCAUAUCUUCGCAAACAGGAAAUCCCCAACCAUAGUGGGCUUGGAGCUGUGAGGGAAUUCGGAGUGGCCACCCGUUCUGAAAGUUUGGUUUUCUUCUGGUGAACUGGACAUCCUUUUAUUUACGUUUGAAGUUUUGGGUUUUUAAAUGUAAUAAGGCCGCUUAAUUAUUUUUGAUGGUUUUAAUAUAUAUUACUAAGAUAGGUAUUACUUA